rnacentral:snoRNA from 1 species
UAUUAAGCAUGAACCUUAUCCCGAACCUGAUUCCUGUAAGAUUGACAACCCUGUCGGAUCUGACUUCUGAAAU